AACUGCCAGACUGUUUUCCAAAGUGUCUGUGCUACUUUACAUUCCUACCGGGAAAGUCCGAGAGUUCCAGUUUCCCCAUAUCCUCCCCAACAUUUGGUGUCAGCUCUUCUUUUCUAUUUGGAUUCUCCUAGUGAGUGUGAAGAGCUCUGUCAAUGUUGUUUUGAGUUGCAUUUCCCUGAUAAUUAAUGAUACUGAGCAUGUUUUUAUGUGAUUAUUGCCCAUUUACAUAUCUUCUUUGGAGAAAUGUCUGUUCUGGUCCUUUGUCCUUUUAAAGAUUAGGUUACUUGCCUUUUAUUAUUGAACUUUAAAUAUUCUUUAUAUAUUCUUUGACCCAAGUCCUUAAUCAGACAAAUGAUUUUGUAGAUAUUUUCUCCUAUUCUAUGGGUUGUUUUUUCACUUUCUACUUCUUUAUUUAUUUAUUUAUUUAUUUUUUUUCCGCAGGGUACAGAGGCUUGAUGUGGGAUCUCAGCUCCCAGACCAGGGCUUGAACCCCAGCCACAGCAGUGAAAGCCCUGCGUCUUAACUACUAGACCACCCCGGGAACGGCUUCUUCUCGCUUUCUUGAUGGUAUUGUUUGUAACCCCAGAGUUUUUAACUUUAUGGAGUCCAAUUUAUCCAUCUUUCUGUUUUGUUCCUUGUGCUUUUGGUACCAUAUGUCAGAAACACUGCCUAAUACAAGCCCAUGAAAAGUUAUUCCUAUGAUUUCUUCUAAGAGUUUCAUAGUUUCAGUUCUUACACUUAAUUCUAUAAUCCAUUUCAAGUUAAAUUUUUUUUUUUUUAAGGCAUGAGGCAAGGGACAAGCUCUGUUUAUUUGCAUGUGGCUAUCCAGCUGUCCCAGCACCAUUUGUUGAAAAGACUAUUUAUCCUCUACUGAAUUAUCUUUUUGACUCUUGUCCAAAACCAAUCAACCAUGCCAGGCCUUCUUAAUGCCUAGGCUCAGAAGUUCCAGAACUGCCCUGAAUUAUAUUUCUUUAAAAGCAUGAGAUUAAAGACAAAUGUAGCUUCAAAUCCUAACUCUGCACACCUGUUUGAUGAGAUUCUACUUCCUCAAGUGUAAACUCGGGAUAAUGACAGUGUUUACUGAGGAGCUCUUGUGCUGCUUACAUGUGAUAAUACAUCAGAUGCUUCAAUCACAGUACGGAGUAUUUAAACACUGAAUGUAUUUUAGCCAUAAUGAUGAUAUGAUGAUGACAGUGAUUCUGACAAUAAAAGUUUUCUAGAUGGAGCCAUUACUUGGUAAGAUCAAAGCACUUCCCCUUUUUUUUUUUUUUUUUUUUUUUUUUUUGGCUGCUUCCACAGCAUGUGGAAACUUCCAGGCCAGGAGGGAAACCACACCUCUUCAGUGACCAAGCUGCUACAGAGACAAUACUGGAUCCACAGCAGGAACUCCUCAAACCCCUUUCUUUGUGGUAAAAUGAAUUAAGAUUCUGUGGGUAUUCAUUCCAUCUUAAAGAGAAAUGAGAAAUGGGGGGACGAUGUCCUGAAACUCUUUUAUAGAAUUCAUCUUUAAUCAAAACAGUCCUCUGUGGGCCUAUAAUCACGACAUAAAGGAGUUCCCUGAUGGCUUGGCAGGUUAAAGAUCCAGCAUGGUCACAGCUGUAGCUCUGGUUGCACAGGUUUGAUCCCUGGCCUAGGAUCUUCCACAUGCCAUUGAUGCAGUCAAAAAAAAAAAAAACCCAAAGCCAAAACCAAAAUAUUAACAACAGUAAGAGUUCUGGUCAUGACUCAGCGAUUAAUGAACCUGACUAGCAUCCAUGAGGACUCUGGUUCAAUCCCUGGCCUCACUCAGUGGGUUAAGGAUCCAGCGCUGCCCUGAGCUGCAGUGUAGGUUGCAGAUGUGGCUCGGAUCCCACGUUGCUGUGUCUGUGGCUUAGGCCAGCAGCUACAGCUCCAACUGGACCCCUAGCCUGGGAACCUGCAUAUGCUCCAAGUGUGGCCCUAAAAAAAAAAAAGACAAAAAAAGCAAAAUAUUAACAACAAUAACAACAAAGACAUAAAGCCACACACCCUAUAAGGUAUGAGGCAUUAACGAUACUCACCUCCUUAAAGUUCACACCGGGUUUUGCUUGUGCACAUAACUGAGUUCAACCUUUCCUGGAUAUGCAUCUGAGUCACAGUUCCCAGACUCACUGUAACCCAGGGGGAAGGCAGCAUCACAAUAGUAGGAACUGCUACAUUUAGGGGCCAGCACAGGAAUAGAAAGAAGCUGAUAGCAAUCGCCUUGUGCGUUGGGGGAAAAAGAAAAUUCAAAAGAAUUGAGAAGGCCCUAUGGAACGUGGGAACAUAUGUGAAUAGAGCACAUGAACGCAAGCUAGGGAGGGAGCCCAGAUGACCAAUGGGCUGUUAGGCCCAAAAGGUGCUUCAGAAUUUGAGAGAGCUUUUUUUAAAAAAAAAAAAAAAAAUCAUGUGGUAAUAUAAUGAUAAAUGAUUUUGAAAAGUAAAACAUAAACUAUAUAUAGGAAAGCCGUUAAAAAUUAAAAACCUAUUCAUCCAAAUAUUAAUGGAGUUCUCUUGGGGCUCAAGCAGGUUAAGGAUCCAGCAUUGUCACUUCAGCAGCUCAGGUUGCUGUUAUGGCACAACCUCAAUCCCUGGCCCAGGAAUUUUCACAGGUCUUGGGCACAGCCAAAACAAACAAAUAAACAAACAAACAAAAUCCCACAAACAAAUAUUAAAAGAGUUGCUUCCCGCUGAAUGAUUUCUUUUUUCUUUUUAACAGAAUUCUCUAUUACUCAAAUUAUUCCCCAGAGAGAACAUACUAUGUUUGUAUGUGGGGGAAAAUAUUAGCCAUCGAGACGUUAUAUUAAGGUUAAGUUUAUAUUUAACCAGAUGAAUUAUUCCUGACAAAAUACUUAUUUUAAUACCCAACAUAAUAAAGUUGCUGCCAACAUAUAAACUAUAUAUUUAGAAACGUGCUUCCAAUAUACCGUUUCAAUGUAUAACACUGACCUGUGUGAUUAGCAGGCAACUAUGACUUGUGCAGAAAUUCUUCUGUGAGCACUGAUAUUUUUGAGUACUACAUUAUUAUCUCUAGAAGAGAUGGAUGCAUAUAAAUUGACAUAAUUUUUAUAAUAAUUAAGUUUGGAACUAGUAAGCAGAAAGCUGAUUGGUUAAUAUUUGUCAAUGGGAAAUAUACACUAGAAAAGGUGAGGCAAAGGGAAGCAAAACAGCACCUUACUCUUUGCCAACAAAUAUCUUCCACCUUCGUUCACUUAUCUUCACAAUAUACACUGAAUAGAACAUUCUCUUUCUCAUCCUUUGCCUUACUCAUGCUGUUCCCUCACAUCUUCUCUCCUUCCUUUCCCUAGAGAAAUCCAAACUAUUCUUCCAAAAAAGGUGCUCACUGUACAGCGAUGCAGGUUGUUCACUGCACAAGGGAACCUGGCUUCAGUGACAAAUGAGGUCUAAAAUCUAGUAUCAACUCCUCAUGGGCAGUCCCUAUGGAGAGAGGGACUGUAGGAGCCUGAAGGAGAAGGCAAAAGGGUGUUUGUUCCUCAUUUGCACAAAGGUGCUAAGUAAGACAGUGGGGCUCUGUAUGGAGGGCUUGAUUAAGUACCAACCUCUCUUUGAAAAUAUCUCAACAAACUAGAAGUUCCCAUCAUGGCUCAGUGGUUAACAAACCUGACUAGUAACCGUGAAGUUGCAGGUUCAAUCCCUGGCCUCACUCAGUGGGUUAAAGAUCCUGAGUUGCUGUGGCUGUGGUAUAGGUUGGCGGCUACGGUUCCAAUUAGACCCCUAGCCUGGAAACCUCCAUAUGCCGUGGGUGUGGCCCUAAAAAAGACCUCCCCCGCCAAAAAAAAUCUAGUUCUCUCUCUUUUUUGAACUUGAAGUCAGUACCAAAGUUUUGCCUAUAUUCUCUUAAUUUUCAAUGCACCAUUUUUACCCCUUCAGCUAAACCAGACACUUCUGAAGGAUAGACACCAUGUCUUCCAUGCUUUUAUUUCUUGGAAACCCAGUCCAAGCAGACAGUAUACAUGAGAUGCUUAACAAAUAUUGGUUAAUCAAGUGACUGAAAACUAAGAAUACCACAAGCAACAGUAACAGAGAGUGUUAUUUGUCUUUGAAGGAUAAAAUCCCUUCCUCUUUGCUCACUAUUUUAAAUUUGCCAGGAAAAAAAAAAAGCAAAUAACUUUUUUAGUGUUGGUUUUAUGUUCUGAAGAGACUGAUAUUCUGGAACCUAAGUUGUAAUUUUCACAUUCAUCAUGGUUUUUAGUGUUGUCACAUUAAACAUUUCAGCUGUUGUUAUUGAACCUGAAUCGGCUUUAGACAGAAGCUGAGUAUGGAUUCCAAGCUCAUAGCUGUCCUAAAAGGCUACAUUCAGCUAUGGUUUCAUAACCAUAAAAUUACACAAGAAGGAGAGAAACCAAGCACUUUGACACUGAAUUCAAAACAAUUCAAACCUCUGUAAGCCUUUUCAAACAACUGUCAAGGGAAGCUGGGUUUUCAAACAUAUUAUAAAGGCUUCUUUUAAAGGAAUGGUUAUUAUUUAUUUUGGAUGCUUUCAUAAUUAUUAGAAAAUAGAAGGAUUUGCUGCCAAAAGCAAAGAAAAAAAAGGGACAUAAAGAAAGAAGGUUAGAAGAGGCAGGAUAAAGUAAUUAAGGAAAAUUAGAGAUAAUACCAACUAGAGAAAAUAAAAUGAAUAUAUUUUUAAAGGCAUAAGAAAAAAUGAUUUAAAAAAACUGAACACAGUGUUCUCGUCGUGGCUCAGCGGAAAUGAAUCUGACUAGUAUUCAUGAGGAUGUAGGUUCAAUCCCUGGCCUCGCUCAGUAGGUUAAGGAUCCAUCGUUGCUGUGGCUACAGCUCCAAUUUGACCCCUAGCCUGGGAACUUCUAUAUGCCGCAAGUGCAGCCCUAAAAGGACCUAAAUAAAUAAAUAAAUAACUGAACACAGUGACAAGUAGGAACUUCUUUUCUAUAGGUUAACAAGAAUCACUCUACCCUGCAUACUUGCAGAAGUUACAUGAAAGAGAAUGGGAAACAGCCUCCCCAAUGUUUUUUUAACCGAGGUCUUAACUUUUUUUUUUUUUUUUUUUGGUCUUUUUGCCUUUUCUAGGGCCUCUUCCCACAGCAUAUGGAGGUUCCCAGGCUAGGGGUCUAAUCGGCCUACGCCAGAGCCACAGCAUCACGGGAUCCGAGCCACGUCUGCGACCUACACCACAGCUCACAGCAAUGACAGAUCCUUAACCCACUGAGCAAGGCCAGGGAUCGAACCCGAAACCUCAUGGUUCCUAGUCAAAUUCGUUAACCACUGCACCA
rnacentral:lncRNA from 1 species